AGAGUUUGAUCCUGGCUCAGAUUGAACGCUGGCGGCAGGCCUAACACAUGCAAGUCGAGCGGUAGAGAGAAGCUUGCUUCUCUUGAGAGCGGCGGACGGGUGAGUAAUGCCUAGGAAUCUGCCUGGUAGUGGGGGAUAACGUUCGGAAACGGACGCUAAUACCGCAUACGUCCUACGGGAGAAAGCAGGGGACCUUCGGGCCUUGCGCUAUCAGAUGAGCCUAGGUCGGAUUAGCUAGUUGGUGAGGUAAUGGCUCACCAAGGCGACGAUCCGUAACUGGUCUGAGAGGAUGAUCAGUCACACUGGAACUGAGACACGGUCCAGACUCCUACGGGAGGCAGCAGUGGGGAAUAUUGGACAAUGGGCGAAAGCCUGAUCCAGCCAUGCCGCGUGUGUGAAGAAGGUCUUCGGAUUGUAAAGCACUUUAAGUUGGGAGGAAGGGUUGUAGAUAAAUACUCUGCAAUUUUGACGUUACCGACAGAAUAAGCACCGGCUAACUCUGUGCCAGCAGCCGCGGUAAUACAGAGGGUGCAAGCGUCAAUCGGAAUUACUGGGCGUAAAGCGCGCGUAGGUGGUUUGUUAAGUUGGAUGUGAAAUCCCCGGGCUCAACCUGGGAACUGCACUCAAAACUGACUGACUAGAGUAUGGUAGAGGGUGAUGGAAUUUCCUGUGUAGCGGUGAAAUGCGUAGAUAUAGGAAGGAACACCAGUGGCGAAGGCGACCACCUGGACUAAUACUGACACUGAGGUGCGAAAGCGUGGGGAGCAAACAGGAUUAGAUACCCUGGUAGUCC
rnacentral:rRNA from 1 species